rnacentral:rRNA from 1 species
UACGUAGGGUGCGAGCGUUAAUCGGAAUUUCUGGGCGUAAAGCGUGCGCAGGCGGUUUUGUAAGCCAGAUGUGAAAUCCCCGGGCUUAACCUGGGAAUGGCAUUUGGGACUGCAAGGCUGGAGUGCGGCAGAGGAGACUGGAAUUCCUGGUGUAGCAGUGAAAUGCGUAGAUAUCAGGAGGAAUACCGAUGGCGAAGGCAGGUCUCUGGGCUGACACUGACGCUCAUGCACGGAAGCGUGGGGAGCAAACAGG